UGGGGAAUCUUGCGCAAUGGGCGAAAGCCUGACGCAGCAACGCCGCGUGGGGGAUGAAGGCCUUCGGGUUGUAAACCCCUUUCAGCAGGGACGAAACUGACGGUACCUGCAGAAGAAGCCCCGGCCAACUACGUGCCAGCAGCCGCGGUAACACGUAGGGGGCGAGCGUUGUCCGGAUUUAUUGGGCGUAAAGAGCUCGUAGGCGGUUCGGUAAGUCGGGUGUGAAACCUCCAGGCUCAACCUGGAGACGCCACCUGAUACUGCCGUGACUAGAGUCCGGUAGGGGAGCGUGGAAUUCCUGGUGUAGCGGUGAAAUGCGCAGAUAUCAGGAGGAACACCAGCGGCGAAGGCGGCGCUCUGGGCCGGAACUGACGCUGAGGAGCGAGAGCGUGGGUAGCAAAACA
rnacentral:rRNA from 1 species